rnacentral:lncRNA from 1 species
AUAGAUAAAUUUUGAGUAGAGUGUUGGUAUGCUAGUUGUAAAUGUGUGUGUAAAUUUUAAGGUCAAUCAAACAGUUAGAUCAAAGUAUGUAAAGGUUUUUGUAGGUUGAGGUCUUAGAAAUUGGAGUUUGAAGGUUAGUAAGUAUUUUUAAGAUCUUUAGCAAUUUUUUGAUUGGAUUGAAGUGAUUUCUUUUUAAUAGAAACUAGACUUGAUUUUCAAUAAUUUAGGUAAAUUUUGGAAGCAAUUCAAUGGUUGA